rnacentral:tRNA from 1 species
GGGCCUGUAGCUCAGUUGGCAGAGCAUCGGACUUUUAAUCCGCGGGUCGAGGGUUCGAUCCCCGCCGGGCCCA